GAUGAACGCUGGCGGCGUGCCUAAUACAUGCAAGUCGAGCGAACGGACGAGAAGCUUGCUUCUCUGAUGUUAGCGGCGGACGGGUGAGUAACACGUGGAUAACCUACCUAUAAGACUGGGAUAACUUCGGGAAACCGUAGCUAAUACCGGAUAAUAUUUUGAACCGCAUGGUUCAAAAGUGAAAGACGGUCUUGCUGUCACUUAUAGAUGGAUCCGCGCUGCAUUAGCUAGUUGGUAAGGUAACGGCUUACCAAGGCAACGAUGCAUAGCCGACCUGAGAGGGUGAUCGACCACACGGGAACUGAGACACGGUCCAGACUCCUACGGGAGGCAGCAGUAGGGAAGCUUCCGCAAUGGGCGAAAGCCUGACGGAGCAACGCCGCGUGAGUGAUGAAGGUCUUCGGAUCGUAAAACUCUGUUAUUAGGGAAGAACAUAUGUGUAAGUAACUGUGCACAUCUUGACGGUACCUAAUCAGAAAGCCACGGCUAACUACGUG
rnacentral:rRNA from 1 species